rnacentral:rRNA from 1 species
UCUGGUGGCUAUAGCAAGGAGGUCACACCUGUUCCCAUGCCGAACACAGAAGUUAAGCUCCUUAGCGUCGAUGGUAGUCGAACUUACGUUC